rnacentral:lncRNA from 1 species
UCAUUCUUUCUUCCUAUCUCUCAACUUGGAAGUUCCUGAACUACUUGGGAGCAUCCUCUGAGUUAUUUUCAGUCCCUAUGACCACUUGUAAGUGUUCCUUUUGUGACUAGUUCGUUUCUUAGGGGCUGUUUGGUAGCCUCUUAAUGACCAUUCAGAUGCUACCUCUUAAUGGUUUAAAACCUCUGAAUGAAUAAGAGGUAACCUCAAGUCUGAAUGGUUAAGAGGUAACCUCUGAAUGGUAAAUCAUCACAUGUCACAUUCUUCUACCUUCUCAUUGGUAAAAUUCUUAAUGGUUCCAUUAAGAGGUAACCUCUUAAUGACCAUACAGAGGCUACCAAACAGCCCCUUAGGCUUUUAAAGCCGAAAAGUCAAGUGUUUACGAUAAACGCUUUGACUUUCAGUCAGACCUGAAAAAGUCAAGCCAUUGUUCGCAAUGAACAUGGAUACGUGAUCGUAAUUAGGUUGGUGUUAAUCCCUCAAAAGGGCACCUCCUAAGAAUCACGUUUGCUUGGUUAAUUGACAAGUCAACAUAUUAAUAAUUUAAAAAGUCAAAGGGCCAGUUUUUGAAAUAAUUACGAUUUGAGUUUAGAAGCAUUCUAAAAUAUUUUUUUAUCACUUAAACAACUUAGUAAUAAUUAUUAGAACAUGUGUAAAUAUGUUCGGCUCGUCAAUUCCAGUUUUAGGGUCGGUUCGCAACCGAAAGUCACAAAGUUUGACUUCUGUGUUGACUUUCGAUUAUAAACCGAAUUAGAUUAGUUUACUACUGAUUAACAUUCUGUUAUGAUCGUAAUAAUAUGUAGUAUAACCCUAUAAGGUUAUAUUAUACGAUCAGACUAGUAAUCUGAGUUUAUGCGCAUGUUCCGUUAUUAUGUCGUACUUUAACUGUUAUGCCCUUUUUACCAAAAAUAAGGUUUAGAGACCAAUAAGCUUGCAAAUAAUUCAGAUACUAAUAUGUUAACAUGUUUAACAUAUUUUGAUGUUACGAAUCUGAUUAUAAACUGACUUUGCGUAUAAUUUCGUAAAUUAUGCUUUAAAGUGACCAAAAUGCCCUUCAGGCGCGUAGAUCGGUUUUAAGCAUAAUUUCUCAUACCAAACUCAUUGCCUACUGAUAUAAUAUAAUAAUUAGAAUAUUUUGGGAUAUCUAUUCAAUUUACAAACUGAGUUUAUGCACAAGUUCUUGAAUUAUGUUCGUAAAUGACAAUAAUGCCCUUUUGGCAUCUAAAAUGGUUUUAAAGCAUAAUUUUCAUACAAAACCUUUUGACUACUGAUAUGUUAUAUUAAUUAACAUAUUUCGGUCAUAUAAACCUGAUCAUAACAUCAGUUUUCCUAAAAGAUAGCAAAUAUCGCCAUUUAACGACUUUAACGCCAUGUCGGCGCGUAGUGUGGUUUUUAAACCAUAAAUACCUACCAAGACUUGUUACCUACUGAUUUUAUAAAUCGUUUUAAAUAUUUUUACAGUAGGUACAUGAUAUAAACUCAGAUUACCAAAUUAGCUUUCAAAACUAUGUGUGAAAUUACCAAAAUGCCCCUACGGAGCAUAGUUUGGUCUUAAACUAUAAAACACACAUAUGUUUGAUAUCCUACUGAUAUUAUAUCAUAAGAAAAGUGUUUUCACAGAAUGUUUAUGGUCGUAACAUCAGAUUAUACGCAAGUUCCUUUUAUAUGUUGUAAAAUGACCAAAACGCCCUUAUCAGGCAUAGUUUGAUUUUAAAAACUUAACGGGCAUACAAGUUGAUAUCCUACUGGUAUUAUAACUUUUUAAAGUAUAUUGGCAUAUGGAACUUGUUCAUGACUCAUCCGGUUACUCGUUAUCGCUUAUACGCAUACGGUUAGACUUGCGUAACUAGUUUACGUAAGUUUGCCGAAACAGGUUUAACCUUAUCAUUUUUACUUCAAAAUACAGAAUGUAAAUAGUUUACCCAUAUUGUACAAGUCUUUAUACUUGUUGGGUCUAAAUUACAUUCUAUUCUGGUCAUCGCUUAAUCUAGCGUAUCGUACCGUUUCUAAUACUUUAAGCUAGCAGGUCUAGGUCUAUGACUUCAAUAAGACCCGUUAGCAUUCUAAAUUGGUUAUAUAUUACCAUCAUUCCACUAGAGCCUCCCGGUAAAAGCUAUCUACACUUAUCUAGUGUAUUAUACGACUGGGUUAUUUAAACCUUGCUGUGAAUCGAGUAUUAGCUCAGGUAAAUACUUUUAACUUAUUUUCCCUUAUACGGGCUUGGGAUACGGUAAAUUAUUACCGCUUGGUCGAGAAUGGGAUCACUUGGUCGGAUUGUGACUAACAAAUCCGCAUAACCCGAAACAUUGGGGGUUAAUGCAACCGUGUCCUGGAUAUCCUCGUCUCAUUUAAUUGCAAAUGGCCACGACCUAUGCACGGGGUGUAGGUAUACACCUGACAGUUGCAAAAUGCUAAAUUAUACCCACAAGGUUGGGGAUAACUCCUUUGUGGGUUUAUAAAAGUGGCGUGUCGGUUAAUCAUGUCUCGGUUUCUAUACUGGGCCCCAUAUGUAUGAAAAAAAUGUAAAUCUGUAUACAAGAUUAUAAAUGUAAUUGUCCCAAGUUAUAAAAGAAUUUUUCGUGCCUUGUGCACCUAGAUCAAUUUUUUGAAAAUGUUUUCAAAUGUGUACUAUACGCAAAUAGGCUGGUAGCUGCUCGGUGUCAAUAAAGGAUCUUGCAAAUCCUUAGGAUGCCCUAAAGUAUGUUAAACAUCAUUUUGUACAUUUAUUAGAUCCGCCUGUGGAUUUGAUAUUACAAGCUCGUCUGUAAUUAUUACUUCAGUAUUUUUUUCAAACAAUUGAGUUUGUAAUAAUAUUUUAUAU